UUUGAUGAGGUGUUUGAAGGCAUUUUGCAUUUUGGUUGCAAAGGAGGCUAGUAGUCCAUUAUUU
rnacentral:tRNA from 1 species